GUCACGAGUUCCGGUGGAAAGCCCUGGCUGGCCGGACAGCAACCCUCUUUCACUGUGGGGUGCUCCAGGUGAUGACAAGGCUCCUGCGCACGCAGGAGCAAGUGUGA
rnacentral:ncRNA from 1 species